UUUGUAGUUUAAUCUUUUGUCAUUAACGACAACUUCACCUUGCAAGUUCCAUCAGUGCUGAAAAGACAGCAUUGGAGCAGAAGGUGUAAGCAAGCUGAUGCGCCAUUUGGAUGGAAAAAACAAGCUCUAGGAAAGUGGUGCCUUCAUUUGGCAAUAAAACUCCCCCAAUGGUCAUGAAAAAGCUUCAUCCUGGAACGACUUGUGUUAUUAGCAGCAUUCGUUAACUACUAUGCACAGCUGCCAAAAUGCAGAUUCCAACCCGUUGCAACAUAUCUCAUACAUAUGUUGGAACACCUACAAUCUCACUGUUUUUGCCUUUUUAGCAAGCUCCCUCUAUAACUUUAUUCCGCAAAUAAAUGUAAUAUACUAUGAAGCAUAUUAUGUCAAUGUUUAGUUUAAU